rnacentral:rRNA from 1 species
AUGGGUGGGGGGUGGUGCGUGCACGUUCUUAGUGGGAUGAUUGGUUUGUCUGAUAAAGUCCGCAAACGAACGAACCGCAACUUGAUAAAUAGUUUCACCUAACCUCGAUUAAGCUUGACAGUUUUAGAGAGAGAUUGUGUGUUGCAAAGGCAGGGAAGUCGAGGCCAAGAUAGGUUUUUGGUGUCCCCAUAAUUGAAGGGCCCGCACGCGCGCUACAUUGAUCACUCAUUAGGGUUCGACCUUGCCCGGGAGGGGUUUGUAAUCCUUUAAAGGUACAUCGUGAGAGGGGUCGGCAUUCCAUUUAUUUUAUUAAACGAGAAAUUCCUAGUAUGUUUUCGUCAUCAAACCUUAAAUUUUAGUCCCUGCCCUUUCACACACCGCCCGUCGCACCUACCGAUUGAAUGGUCCGGUGAGGCCUCGGGAUUGUGGCCCCUGCCAUUAAUUUGGUGGAGGCCGCGAGAACUGUCCAAACCUAUCAUUAGAGAAGGAAGUCGACAUCC